UACAGAGGGUCCAAGCGUUAAUCGGCAUUACUGGGCGUAAAGCGUGCGUAGCCGGUUACAUAAGUCGGGUGUGAAAGCCCCGGGCUCAACCUGGGAAUUGCAUUCGAGACUGCGUAGCUAGGGUGCGGAAGAGGGAAGCGGAAUUUCCGGUGUAGCGGUGAAAUGCGUAGAUAUCGGAAGGAACACCAACGGCGAAAGCACUCUGCUGGGCCGACACUGACACUGAGGAGCGAAAGCCAGGGGAGCAAACGGG
rnacentral:rRNA from 1 species